GGGGUAUUUUUUCAACUUCCAGCCUUGAAAUGAGCUAAUUUGCCGGGCCCCGAGGCAGCUCACAUUCCUCCAGCAUCUUUAGCAUCGGCACCAUAUUUGGCAGUCGGCAUCCCCGCAAGGCCAAGCUCUUAUCCAGAGGGAUUAGUGGAGCCAAAGAAAAGAAGUUUUACAUUGAAAAUGAAGACAGGGAAGAAAAACAACCCUAAACCAAAACCCGGGGAGAACUGAUUUUGCCGGGAUUUUUCCUGCUGAACAAACAGGAGAGGCUGGGAACGGUGUCUCUUGCUUGUAUUUGUAUCUAAGGCUCAAACCCUGAGAGUUCAAGCCCUCCUGGAUGGCCCUGAGAAAGAUAAGCUAUCUCCCCCAUCUCCCAGCCUGGGAGCAGCAAACAUUCCUGCUUUGUGGAACAAAAC